UGGGGAAUAUUGGUCAAUGGACGCAAGUCUGAACCAGCCAAGUAGCGUGCAGGAUGACGGCCCUAUGGGUUGUAAACUGCUUUUAUAUGGGGAUAAAGUGGGGAACGUGUUCCCUUUUGCAGGUACCAUAUGAAUAAGGACCGGCUAAUUCCGUGCCAGCAGCCGCGGUAAUACGGAAGGUUCGGGCGUUAUCCGGAUUUAUUGGGUUUAAAGGGAGCGUAGGCCGUUUGGUAAGCGUGUUGUGAAAUGUAGGAGCUCAACUUCUAGAUUGCAGCGCGAACUGUCAGACUUGAGUGCGCACAACGUAGGCGGAAUUCAUGGUGUAGCGGUGAAAUGCUUAGAUAUCAUGAAGAACUCCGAUUGCGAAGGCAGCUUACGGGAGCGCAACUGACGCUGAAGCUCGAAGGUGCGGGUAUCGAACAGG
rnacentral:rRNA from 1 species